UUCGAUUUGUUUUUCUUGGGGGGGGGGGGGGGUUCUUCCGGUGGUGGUGGGUUUGACGGCGACGGUGGUGGUGGGUUUUGACGGCGACUGUGGUGGUGGGUUUUGACGGCAGUGGAGCCUGGCGAUGGUUUCCUUCCCGUUGGUUCGGGUUUCAUGGCACGGGUUAGCUCGAUCAAACAGACAACUCGGUCAACUGUCGGGUGCACUCGGUCAAAGCUGGUCAGCCGUUUCAGUCACAGUUCAGUCUUGCUUCGGGUUCAGGUCAGCGGGUUAACUUGUAUUUAUAAUUUGUUGCUUCGGGUUCGGGUUAGCGGGUUAACUUGUAUUUAUUAAUUGUAAACGUAGAAUCAUAUGAUUAUGUUGUUUCGUUUAUUGUGUAUUGAAUUUUGAAAAUUAUAACGACAACUUGUAUUG